rnacentral:lncRNA from 1 species
GAACAACUGUCAAAGUACAUUUUCCGACACAAUGGCGGUAGUAAGAAUCGGACUGGUGAGAUUCAAGGGACAUUUGCUGGAUUCAUGACCCAGUGUGGGACAGAUACACCCAUUGAGCACUCACUUUCCACAGACGAUGCUGUAUGUAGACUUGCUUUUCUAUCUUUUUACCUUGUUUUACUCUAGCUUGUUAUUUGCGUCAGGAAACGUGCUUAUAGUAUGUCCAUAUAUUGUUAAUAGGCAUGUUCCAUAUGUCUCUCUACUUAUGAUGAUGAAGAUGUACUCCGAGAACUUCCCUGUGGUCACCAUUUUCACUGUGCUUGUAUUGACAAAUGGCUAUAUAUGAGUGCAACCUGUCCCCUUUGCAAGCGCAGCAUCGUUGGGGCUAGCUGUUGCAGUGAAGAAGUUUAGAAGAGGAUCAUUGAGAUAUGUCCAUAUAUUGUUAAUAGGCAUGUUCCAUAUGUCUCUCUACUUAUGAUGAUGGAGAAGAACUCCGAGAACUUCCCUGUGGUCACCAUUUUCACUGUGCUUGUAUUGACAAAUGGCUAUAUAUGAGUGCAACCUGUCCCCUUUGCAAGCGCAGCAUCGUUGGGGCUAGCUGUUGCAAUGGAGAAGUUUAGAAGAGGAUCAUUGAGAAGAAUGCAGGUGUUUGUUGCGAGUUUUUACACAUGCUGUUAUUUCAAUACAGAGUCAUAGCUAUGUUUUUCCUGCCUGCUAUUGUUUGGGCAGCUGUAUUCUUCUCUUAGACCACCAACCUUGAGUAUGUACAUAUGAACAGAUAACUCUUUGCCACUAUCUAUAAAGAUAUAUACAUAUGCUAGUGCAGAUAAAUACACAUACUUGCGCUGGAAACAGGAGCUCAAGACAUAGGAAUUUUAUGCAGAAAUAAGGUAUGUUCAUUCAGAAGCCCUUCAAAGGACGCAGGCAAACUUUCACAUUGAACUAAAUUUUCCUUUCAGUUGCAAUAUGAAAACCGCAAAAGGCAGCAAGCUGCCUCUGACACCAUAGGCGAAUGAGACAUGCUGGAUAUAUAAGUAAAAUAUGUCUUAGACCUUAAUGGUGCGUUUUAAAGUCGUGCAGAUCUAGGUCAAACGCGGACAAUAUUACUAGUGGGCUGG